ensembl:snRNA U6 U6 spliceosomal RNA
GUGUUUGUUUCGGCAGCACACAUACUAAAAUUGGAAUGACACAGAAGAGUAGCAUGGCCCCUGCACGAGGAUCACACACACACACACACACACACACUAAAAUAGA